rnacentral:rRNA from 1 species
GACGAACGCUGGCGGCGUGCUUAACACAUGCAAGUCGAACGGAAAGGCCCUGCUUUUGUGGGGUGCUCGAGUGGCGAACGGGUGAGUAACACGUGAGUAACCUGCCCUUGACUUUGGGAUAACUUCAGGAAACUGGGGCUAAUACCGGAUAGGAGCUCCUGCUGCAUGGUGGGGGUUGGAAAGUUUCGGCGGUUGGGGAUGGACUCGCGGCUUAUCAGCUUGUUGGUGGGGUAGUGGCUUACCAAGGCUUUGACGGGUAGCCGGCCUGAGAGGGUGACCGGCCACAUUGGGACUGAGAUACGGCCCAGACUCCUACGGGAGGCAGCAGUCGGGAAUAUUACACAAUGGGCGGAAGCCUGAUGCAGCAGCGCCGCGUGCGGGAUGACGGCCUUCGGGUUGUAAACCGCUUUCGCCUGUGACGAAGCGUGAGUGACGGUAAUGGGUAAAGAAGCACCGGCUAACUACGUG